rnacentral:rRNA from 1 species
GGAUGAACGUUGGCGGCGUGCCUAACACAUGCAAGUCGAACGGCAAUAGCAAUAUUGGAGUGGCGCACGGGUGAGUAACACGUAGCUAAUCUACCUCAAAGCGCGGGAUAACGUGUCGAAAGACAGGCUAAUACCGCAUAAGCUCGCGAUCUGUAGAGGGUUGCGAGAAAAGGCUUCGGUCACUUUGAGAUGAGGCUGCGGCCCAUCAGCUAGUUGGUGCGGUAACGGCGUACCAAGGCGACGACGGGUAGGGGACCUGAGAGGGUGACCCCCCACACUGGGACUGAGACACGGCCCAGACUCCUACGGGAGGCAGCAGUGAGGAAUAUUGCACAAUGGGCGAAAGCCUGAUGCAGCGACGCCGCGUGGGUGAAGAAGGUUUUCGGAUCGUAAAACCCUUUUCUGUGUGACGAGCAAGGACGGUAGCACAGGAAUAAGUCUCGGCUAACUACGUGCCAGCAGCCGCGGUAAAACGUAGGAGACAAACGUUAUCCGGAGUUACUGGGCGUAAAGGGCGCGUAGGUGGUUUCGUAAGUCUGGCGUGAAAUUUCUCGGCUUAACCGGGAGUGGUCGUCGGAUACUGCGGGACUAGAGGACGGUAGAGGCGUGUGGAAUUCCGGGUGUAGUGGUGAAAUGCGUAGAGAUCCGGAGGAACACCAGUGGCGAAGGCGACACGCUGGGCCGUACCUGACACUGAGGCGCGAUAGCAUGGGGAGCAAACAGGAUUAGAAACCCUGGUAGUCCAUGCCGUAAACGACGCUAACUGGGUGUUCAGGGGGGGAAACCCCUCGGGGUACCGAAGUCAACA